UCUGACGCAACUAUUCAGCUCUGCCACCCACAAUACCUAGACAAAUGAGUGUGGCUGUGUUCCAAUAAAACUGUCUGUGGACACAGAAAUCUGAAUUUUCGUGUGUCACCAAUGUUAUCAUACUUUUAGUUUGUUAAAAUUGAAUAUUUAAAAAUGUAAAAACCAUGCCUAGCUUGCUGGCUGUAGAAAAACAGGUGGUGGGUGGGAUUUGGCUGCAGGGGAUCUUUCUUGAAGAGGGGAAGGGUGUGGUGGUCUUUGGCAUUCAGUACCUUUUAGUAGAUAAUCUGAUUAUGAUUAGUUAACACAAAUUUGCGAAGAAAAUCCCUAGUGGAAUUUGGAUGACUCUUCAGGAUCUGGUGCUUUUGUCCUUGACCCAUUAAUACGAAGUUGAGUGGUGCUUUGGAUCUUUUUAUCUGCUGUAUGAUAGGGUCAGACUAGAUGACUUCUAAGGCUUCAUGUAGCUCUUCAUGUUUUAGACCCUUUAUCACUUAUGCUUCCGUUCUUUUUCUGAUGAUCAUUCUUGCAACUUACCUUCCUAAAAAUUAUUUAGAUACUUAUUGGGAAACAAAUAUACCCUAACUGUACAGGGCUUGGUGGUGUGGUUGUGUGUGUGCAUGUGAUGGUGGGGUAGUCAGAAUACAGAAAUGUACCUUUCAGUAUUCCAAAUGAAAUUGUUUUCCACAUUGUGAAAAACAGUCUUUCUUAUCGUUGUAAAAAUAAUAUGGUAAUUAUACAUCUAAAAUAUAUUUGUUAAAAAAUAUAUGAAUAAUUCAAAAUUUUCAGUAUCAGAUUUCAAUGUUUGCAGUGUUACUGUGGUUCCUCAUUUGUUUAUUUUUUUGUUCAUGGAACACAUCCAACACCUGCUAUGUGCCAGGCACUUGUCUAGGCACUGAAGGCCAAACUGUUUGCCCUUAAAAAGCUUGUAUUCGAGAUGGGAAUCUUUUGUUGAAGGUGAUGGGUGGGUAGUUUUAUUUGUACUUUUCAGAAGAGUUCUGCUUACUCACUACUUGUUUUUCACACAUGUAUUUUUUGUUUCAGUUAUCUUUUGGCAAAUCUCUGAGUAAUGUGUUUGAAUUAUUAGAGGGAAUUUUAUAGUCACACAGUUCUUUGUUGACUUUCCCAGUCUCCUAAAGUUGUUAAUCAUUGAAGAUGACUCUGAUUCUUCACUGACGGAGAAUGAAUUCACUCAUUUUAAUUAUAUCGGCUAAUUUGGAAAGCAUUUCAUUCAACUCAGAGCUUUAGAGAAGGUCAGUCAAACAGGUCCUUUAGAAAAUUACUAUGUCAAGUUCUCAAAGGACAUUUAAGUUAAUUUAUACUAUCAGCCUUCUAAGCAAUAAUAGUGGAUUUAUAUUUGCGUUACACAGUACUU